CAAUAGCGUAUAUUAAAGUUGUUGCGGUUAAAAAGCUCGUAGUUGGAUUUCUGCCGAGGACGACCGGUCCGCCCUCUGGGUGAGUAUCUGGUUCGGCCUGGGCAUCUUCUUGGAGAACGUAUCUGCACUUGACUGUGUGGUGCGGUAUCCAGGACUUUUACUUUGAAAAAAUUAGAGUGUUCAAAGCAGGCUGACCGCUUGAAUACAUGAGCAUGGAAUAAUGGAAUAGGACUUUGGUUCUAUUUUGUUGGUUUCUUGAACCGAAGUAAUGAUUAAGAGGACAGUUGGGGGCAUUCGUAUUUCGUUGUCAGAGGUGAAAUUCUUGGAUUUACGAAAGACGAACAACUGCGAAAGCAUUUGCCAAGAAUGUUUCAUUAAUCAAGAACGAAAGUUAGAGGCUCGAAGACGAUCAGAUACCG
rnacentral:rRNA from 1 species